CCCUGUAUCCUCAGCCUCAGCCUCAGCCUGACUUCCUGGGCCACCUGUUGCUUGAAGCCACAGGAGUGGCCCCUCCUAAUUUGACUUCCUGUCCUCCAUAGGAUCUGCUUCCCAGUGCAGGUGAACCGGCUGCCUCGGGAGACACUGCUGUGUGCCACUCUCUAUGCUCUGCCCAUCCCCCCACCGGGGAGCUCCUCAGAGGCCAAUAAGCAGCGGCGGGUGCCUGAAGCCCUGGGCUGGGUCACUACCCCACUCUUCAACUUCAGGCAGGUCCUGACCUGUGGCCGGAAGCUUCUGGGUUUGUGGCCAGCAACACAGGAAAAUCCCAGCGCCCGUUGGAGUGCACCUAAUUUCCACCAGCCAGACAGUGUCAUCCUGCAGGUGAGGCUU
rnacentral:sRNA from 1 species